GAUGAACGCUGGCGGCGUGCCUAAUACAUGCAAGUAGAACGCUGAAGGAGGAGCUUGCUCUUCUGGAUGAGUUGCGAACGGGUGAGUAACGCGUAGGUAACCUGCCUGGUAGCGGGGGAUAACUAUUGGAAACGAUAGCUAAUACCGCAUGACAACAGUUAUUGCAUGAUAACUGUUUAAAAGGGGCAACUGCUCCACUACCAGAUGGACCUGCGUUGUAUUAGCUAGUUGGUGAGGUAACGGCUCACCAAGGCGACGAUACAUAGCCGACCUGAGAGGGUGAUCGGCCACACUGGGACUGAGACACGGCCCAGACUCCUACGGGAGGCAGCAGUAGGGAAUCUUCGGCAAUGGACGGAAGUCUGACCGAGCAACGCCGCGUGAGUGAAGAAGGUUUUCGGAUCGUAAAGCUCUGUUGUAAGAGAAGAACGAGUGUGAGAGUGGAAAGUUCACACUGUGACGGUAUCUUACCAGAAAGAGACGGCUAACUACGUG
rnacentral:rRNA from 1 species